CCCUUAGAUGUUCUGGGCUGCACGCGUGCUACAAUGGCGUUUCAAGCAAGUCUGCGAACCCGAGAGGGCCAGCGGAUCUUCGAAUUGGCGUCGUGAUCGGGACAGUCGAUUGCAAUUAUUUGACUCAAACGAGGAAUUCCUUGUAAUCGCGAUUCAUCAUAUCGCGCUGAAUACGUCCCUGCCCUUUGUACACACCGCCCGUCGCUCCUACCGAUUGAGCGAUCCGGUAAAUGUUUUGGAUUGGUGCCGGGGCGGCUAGCUGCCGGUCGCUACGAAAUUUUGUGAACCUUAUCGCUUAGAGGAAGGAAAAGUCGUAACA
rnacentral:rRNA from 1 species